rnacentral:rRNA from 1 species
UAGUAACGGCGAGUGAAGCGGCAACAGCUCAAAUUUGAAAUCUGGCUUCGGCCCGAGUUGUAAUUUGCAGAGGAAGCUUUAGGCGCGGCACCUUCUGAGUCCCCUGGAACGGGGCGCCAUAGAGGGUGAGAGCCCCGUAUAGUUGGAUGCCUAGCCUGUGUAAAGCUCCUUCGACGAGUCGAGUAGUUUGGGAAUGCUGCUCAAAAUGGGAGGUAAAUUUCUUCUAAAGCUAAAUACCGGCCAGAGACCGAUAGCGCACAAGUAGAGUGAUCGAAAGAUGAAAAGCACUUUGAAAAGAGGGUUAAAUAGCACGUGAAAUUGUUGAAAGGGAAGCGCUUGUGACCAGACUUGCGCCGGGCUGAUCAUCCGGUGUUCUCACCGGUGCACUCUGCCCGGCUCAGGCCAGCAUCGGUUCUCGCGGGGGGAUAAAGGUCCCGGGAAUGUAGCUCCUCCGGGAGUGUUAUAGCCCGGGGCGUAAUGCCCUCGCGGGGACCGAGGUUCGCGCUCU